UGUCUACACUUCCGGAAUAAUCACCCCAUAAUCUAGAUGACAGAAAGAUGGAAUUUUAUGAAUUUUACGCCGCAUUAUGUACAAUAGUCGAUUGAAUGUUGAUGAGACAAUUUAACACAUACAAUGGCUUAAGAAAACAGUAAUCUAGACAUUAAAAAACAAAAAAAUAUACCAGAAAUCGAUCGAAAACACGGAAGAUGGCGACUAGUGUCGACCAAAACGUCCCCACACAUAAUGAUCAACCUGUCAUUCAAAAUACUCCAAAAGAAGGUACAGUACCUAAAGAAAGACAUAAACCGUCACCAUUAGAGCCACAGAUUAUUUUACCAAACCAAAACAUGGCUACGGAUACACUGAGGCCGACAAGUAGCAUACAUGCUGGUAAGGACAGGGAAAAGAAGAUUGGGCACAGAAGAGUGGACCAUCACACAGGAAUGGUUACUUAUAAAAAGAAACCCACUUCAGAAUUAAUGGCUGCCAUACAGUUGGGUAUAGGACAGAGUGUAGGAGGUUUGUCAUCUAAACCAGAGAGGGACGUUCUGAUGCAGGAUUUUGCUGUUGUAGAAAGUGUCUUCUUUCCUUCAGAAGGUAGUAAUUUGACCCCAGCUCAUCAUCUCAGUGAUUUUCGAUUCAAAACAUACGCACCAAUUGCAUUUCGUUAUUUUCGUGAAUUGUUUGGAAUCCAGCCAGAUGAUUUUUUGUUAUCGUGUUGUGAUGAGGCUCUGAAGGAGUUAUCUAACCCUGGUGCCAGCGGCAGCAUUUUUUACCUGACAAAUGAUGAUGAAUUUAUUAUUAAAACAGUACAACAUAAAGAGGCUGACUUUUUACAGAAACUUUUACCGGGCUAUUAUAUGAAUUUAAACCAAAAUCCUUGUACAUUGUUACCCAAGUUUUAUGGUCUGUACUGUUAUCAGUGUGGUGGUAAAAACAUUCGAUUUGUUGUGAUGAACAAUUUACUUCCAACAACAGUGAAAAUGUCUGAAAAAUAUGACUUAAAAGGAAGUACUUAUAAACGAAAAGCAUCUAAACAUGAACGGGACAAGUCAGUUCCAGUGUACAAAGACUUAGAUUUUAUAAAUAUACAUGCCGAUGGUAUAUAUCUGGAAAAAGACAAACAUGAGCCUCUGAUGAAGACACUUAUAAGGGAUUGUCGGGUACUUGAAAGCUUUAAAAUAAUGGAUUAUAGUUUGUUAGUUGGUAUAUAUAACUUAGAUCAAGCAGAGAGAGAAAAGGGACGUGCACGGGAAGAUUCAGGGGCAGAUCAUACAGACAUUCCAGCGUUAGACGGUCCGUCUCCAGAGGCAGAUUCUUCAGGUGCUAAACCCAUAAAUAAAACAGACUCCAAUGGAGAGAGUACCUCAUUAACAAGAACUAAGUCUAUGAAGACGAGACUGGCAAAUUAUUCCACGGCUAUAGAAUCUAUACAGGCCAGAAAUGUAGACGAUGAAGAGGAGGAGGAUGAAGAUACGCCGCCUGGUGGUAUUCCUGCCAAAAAUGCAAAAGGAGAAAGGUUGUUAAUAUUCCUUGGUAUAAUAGAUAUAUUACAGAGCUACAGACUGAAGAAAAAACUUGAACAUACCAUGAAAUCUAUAGUUAUAGAUGGGGAUUCAAUAUCUGUACAUAGACCUAGUUUUUAUUGUCAAAGAUUCCAGGAUUUCAUGUCCAAAAGAGUUUUCAAGAAACUACAAACUCCUAUUAAACAUUCACCUUCCAAAAGAAAACCUGCAUACCCAAGAAGACACGGAAAUUCUGAAGGAGAAGGUGAAACCUCAAAAUAUAGGGCAUAUAGUUACUCAGAUGAAAGUCAACCUGUCUCAGGAGCCACAGGAAGACGCCCAGAUUUAGUCCCAGAAAACUCCACACCUCCUCCUACAUUCGCAGAGGCCCUAGAAAGAGGGCCAUCACCACGACAACAAAAUAGGUCACCUAACACAUCAAGAGUGUUAUAUACAGGGAGAAGUAUUUCUUCUGAAUCUGAAAACAAAAGGCUAGAUUAUUCCAGUAGUGGUAAAUUUACAGUAACAUAUCAGGAGCCAUCACAGAUUCCAGCGUCACCUAAUCUCAGUCUGUCAGAAUCGACGCCCACUCAUACAGAUUUUACAGAGGGUACGCCCAGUUACACGCCUUCUACACCCAGCUGUUACAGUGAAAUAGAACAAAGUUUCCAAGCUGAACUGGACUCUGAGGCUCCAUCAUCUCAAUCUUUAUCUCCAAUUAAAUCUGUGAACAAUACAAUGAUAAGUAGUACAGAAACAUCAUAUGCAUCUGCAUUAGAAUCACAGGGACCAGAAAACCAGGAACUCAACGGUGAACUGGAUGCUAAAAGUGAGGACACAACUUUAACUAGCCAGGAGGGAAAUGUAAGAAACCCAACUGGAAAUCCAAGCCAGAUUGAGGAGGAGGAGGAAGAAAUGCUUUAGUGAGGUAACAUUAGCUUCAUUGGUUGUGGGUAAAAAUGAUAAUACAACUAGCUGUUGACAUGACACAUUUGUAGCAUAAGGAAAACUUCCAAAUGUAGAGACUGUGAUUGAAAUAUUCCCAUGAUGCAAUACAACAGACUCAUCCAUUGAUCAUCCACUUCCUGUUAUCCCAUAAUUCAUCUCUGUGAAUAGAACAUCCCAAGAAGGAACAAAUUUAUUAUUAUUUAUUUAUUUUUACUGUCAGUAAUACUGGUAUUUUAGAUCAAUUUUAUUAGGUCAUAUAUUUAUUUUACAUACAGUCAUUGUCUCACUGUGUAUUGCAAAUAAUCAUUUUGAAAACAGAAGGAGAGAUUGAACAUAUAUAGAACAACUUGUCAAAACAUUCCUUAUAUGAAACUUUUGUAGUCAUUUUAUGCUUUUAAUGACUUUACUGAAGGAAGGAGUUUUUCAAAUGUACAACUUUCUUAUGAAAGAGAUGAAUGUGUACAAAGACAUUAAUAUAAAAUAGAAAUAGUGCAUAUUCAUGUUUGAUAUAAAGAAAAUUCAGCUAAUAUCAGUAUUUUGGAAGUUGCAUUACUUACAUGUUCUUUCCAACCAGAUGUUAAUUAGCAUUUCAAUAUCUUAUAUAAGUGACUAAGAAAUGAUAGGUAGACAAAUUUCCCUUCAGUAUUCAUUAAAAAUCUUAAAAAAAACCAAAAAAAAUCUUUAACAGUAGUUACAGAUUCAUAACAGGGCUUGAUACGAGAUUAUGUUGGCUGCUAAAUAAGAAAACCCUUCUGUACCUGAGGAUCCCUAAAGGAAAUUUACCUUCUUAUGAAACUAAAAUAACCUGUAUAAGGUAAACCAGCCCUGAUAAAAGUGUAGUAACCUGUGUAAGACAACCACAUUUUAAUAUAAAAGUGUAGUAACCUGUGUAAGGUAACCACUAAUAAAUAAAUGGUGGUACCCUGUGUAUGAUAAACAACUUAGAAAGAAAAUAACUUGUUUUAAGAUAAAUGAUAUCUGCUAAAAGACGGGUAACCCAUAUAUGUUGAAAACUUCAGGUAAAGGAGAGAUUGCCUGUAUAAGAUAACUUCUGAUGGAAGGAAGUAGCUCCUAUUCAGUAAAACAUAUUGAUGUGAAAAGUGAGGUACCCUGUGUUUGGUUAAUAGUGUUGCAUGAGCAAAGUUCAUGUAUAUCAUGUAAUAAGGAUAUUAAUUUUAAAUGAAAGAAAUAAUUCUGAAGCUUAAACAUAUUAUUAAAUGGAUAAUAAGAUCUGAAUUCAUUAAAUAUCUUAUUAGUUAAUCAGGCCCAUUUUAUCAACUUUCGAUUUUGUGUAUCUUUGAAAACAAACGUAUUUUAUGUUAAUACAUUGUUAAUAGGAGGAGAACAAACAACCCAAUCUUUGCAUUUAAAAUAAUGCCACUGAUACACUUGCUAUGAAUUGUUCCCUUUUAACAAACAACAAAACAAAUAGCUAGUACAGUGUAGUGGUGUAUCACUUGAUUUUUCAGGAAUUUCUUUAAAAGCCAACACUACAGUGUAUAUUCACUUAUUAUGAAUGUUAUCAUCAUUACUAGGUAACAGUUAUCAUGUGAAUAUUAUGUUAUAGAAUAUGUAGGAUCAAAUAAUUAUAAUGUCACAUAAUUGAUCUAUUAAACUGAACUUUUAACUAUUCAAAUAAUCACAUGAUAGUCAUGUGUUUGAUAUGAAAGUGUAGACAACUAUUGUAAAUUAAAUCAUUGUAAAAAUUAAACUAUUUUCUUACAUGA